AUAUGAAAAUCUCUAGGGCGCCAAUUUACCAGCAGGGAAUCUCAACGUAAUACCACCUUUCUCUCUAGUUCCACCAAUGGUGUUAAAUUCACGAUAAACAAUUUCCAAUAAGCAUCUCUUCCGAUAAAAUUCUUUCAAAAUUUCUACGAAACUUAAACAAUUGACAAACUUCAAUUAAUUAUUUCCACUUGUCAUUUAAAUAACUAAAUAACGCUUUUAAAUUUAAUUAUAUUUAUAUAUAAGACACUUGAUCGUAUCACGUGAUAGACAGAUUAAUUUCUGACAGUAACGUCGCGAUUCAUCGUCGUUCAAAAGUGCGAGCAAAUAGGCGGAAGAUAACGAUAACGUCCACGCCAAUAACGACGGUCAGCUAUGAUUAUUAAUCAUGUGCAGGUUGCGCGUGCGAAUGUCAGCGGUGCGUGGGGAGUCUGACUAAUCGUUCCGCCAUUGCGGAAUAAUAUACCCAUGGCAGUCGAGGCUCGUUUUGCUGCUGUGUUUCUAUAGUUUAGACGUUACACUAUACUUGUAGUUUGUUUUGCGCGAUAAUAACAAUUUCGACUGCAAACACGAUAUUCGGAAAGUUUUAUUUUAUUCUUAUCUGUUUUCAUAGAUUAUCGCUUUCAAUAGUGUUAUCGAAAGAAGAGAAUGUAUCGUAAUUUUGGAUAUAUAGAAAUAAUAAUGGAAAAUAAUUAAAAUAUAUUUAUUCAUAUUUCAAUGAUAUGCAGGUAUGCAAUAGCACAGAAAAUCAUUUGUUUUUUUUGAUGUUUUAAAAUUAUGACGUGAAUAUUUCUUGUGUUAUGUUUAAUUGAAAAGCAUAAGCAUGAGAAACAUGAUUAAUAGAGUUGAAAGUAAUAUUGUAAUCCACAGAGAAUAUACGAUAGAAUACGAAGAAUAUUAGUUACUUUCUUCCUCUGUUAUCAGGUUUACUGUUGGAAAUUUCUUCUUCUGCCGGCCUGUUUCUACUUGUGCGAAAAAACAAGAUGAGCAGCAUCUUCCGGCCAGGAUAUUUUGCGGGAAAAUACGAAAUCCUCUAGUAAACCAAGGGAAUCCUACCGGCUGGUGGCUUUAUCCUGGAACGGUCCCGCGCUAAUGCAGCAAUAAACAUGCAUCUAUCUGAAGCAGAAUCGAGUCGCGGCUUCGCCAGACAAGAGAACAAGGGGAGGAGAAUAAUAUGCAUCAACGUGAAAGAAGCGCAACCGUGAAACUUUUUAAGUUGAAAUGUAAAUAUCGAAGUUUGUAACACAAUUAUUUAGACAGGAAUAAGUGAGUUAUUUAAAAAUUUUUCUUCGGAUUAUACACCACUACGUUAAUCUAUUUUUGAGUCGGUGAAAUAAAAAGGAAAGGAAAAAAGGAAGUGAGUUUUGCAAAAGUUGGAAAUAUAUAAAUUGAUAUAGUUGUAACUUCGAUAAUUUUAAUCGAUAAAUUGUUUCGUAAAGAGAAAUUGCAACGUUCAAAACUUUUCUUCCAGAAGACAGAAUGUUUUAUAAGUAAUAUUCACAUAUGAAUAUUGUAUUUGCUUAAAAUUUUCUUUGAAAACAACGAUAAUAUAUUGUGAAUAACUUGGAAUGAAAUAAUAUUGAUUUUAUAAAGUGAAAUUAUUUACAUAUUUGUUAUAAUAACUCAUAAAUUAUAUUUUAUUAGAAAAAAUAUUUUCGAAUAAUUUAGAAUUAAAAUAUCAAAAUAGUAAAUUGAAAGUUCACAAUUUGGAAUUAUUUAUAGAAUUUUUACAUGUUACAUUUAAAAUGUAAUUCAAAAACAGAAAUUUUUGACUUAUAUCAACAAGUGAAAUAUUCUAUAAAUUUAUAUAGCAAAAAUUACAAAAUAAUUUAUAAUAAAUCAGAGUAACAUUUCAAUAAAAAGAAUUUAUAUUUGAGAAAAAUAAUUAUUUUAAGAUGCAUUAUCCAUUGAUGUAUCCAAAAAACAAUUACGAUGGAAAAAUCGAUUAAAUGAUCAUUACUUUUGUAAAAAAAUCUAAUUACUUUAGAACUAUAUAAGAGUAAAUGACUUUUCGCAUGAA